AGGCAGCACGUGCUAGCAUACUAAAAUUGGAAUGAUACAGAGAAGAUUAGCAUGGCCCAAGCGCAAGGGUGACACGCAAAUCCGUCAAGUGUGCAGGAGCAAAGAAUUAU